CCUACGGGUGGCAGCAGUGAGGAAUAUUGGUCAAUGGGCGCAAGCCUGAACCAGCCAAGUAGCGUGAAGGAUGACGGCCCUACGGGUUGUAAACUGCUUUUAUACAGGAAUAAAGUGCCUCACGUGUACGGCUUUGUAUGUACUUUAUGAAUAAGGAUCGGCUAACUCCGUGCCAGCAGCCGCGGUAAUACGGAGGGUCCGGGCGUUAUCCGGAUUUAUUGGGUUUAAAGGGAGCGUAGAUGGGUUGUUAAGUCAGUUGUGAAAUGUCGCGGCUCAACCGUAAAAUUGCAAUGGAUACUGGCAGGCUUGAGUACAGUUGAGGCAGGCGGAAUUCGUGGUGUAGCGGUGAAAUGCUUAGAUAUCACGAAGAACUCCGAUUGCGAAGGCAGCUUACUAAACUGCAACUGACAUUGAUGCUCGAAAGUGUGGGUAUCAAACAGGAUUAGAUACCCCUGUAGUC
rnacentral:rRNA from 1 species